AUCUGGAGGCAGAGGCCAGAGAGAGCUUUGUCAGGAGGGGAACGGAGGGCAUUCCAGACAGGAGCAACGGUAGGAGCAAAAGUGUACAAGAGGAUGGCCCAUUUGGAAGAUAACAAGACCAGCCUUGGCCGAGACAGGUUCCUAUGAAGGAUGAGAGGGGAGUUCGCCUUCUGUUCCUCCACGUGCUGCGGUAGCUGCAGAAAGACUCUCCAACAAGAGGUCAUCCAUCAUACGGAGCCCUCUGUCUAAGCCCCUCCAGGGCUCCCUUCACCCACAAAACAGCCCUCAAACUGAGAUGAUGAAGCCCGUCCAGCUGAGUCUGUCAACUUCCUUGGCUCCAGCUCCUUCUGGGCACCCGGGCCCCAGCCAGGUCCAGAUCUGGUGGUUCCAACACCAGUCAUGUUGCUUUGUCCCCUUCACUGCCUCCCUCCCUCCCUCCUUUUGUGUCUCUGCAGAGGCUUUAGUGGGGAUGCUGACAGUGUAGACUUGGAGGCCAGAUUGCCUGGGACUGAUCCCAACUUGAUGGUCCGAAUAGCACCUGGCCCCUUAUAGGCCACAUUGUUAUUCACUCUGCAUCCAUCCUGCCCCCUUGAGCUCAGUGUCACCUCUCUCUCCACCAGCCAGCUAUUCCUCUUGAUUAGUAGCUCCAAGGGCAGGUGCCAAGCUUCCUUCAUUCUGCUUCUCCAGCAUCCAACACAGUGCCUGACACACAAUAGGUGCCCAAUGUCAAUAACUGGCCAUGCACAUGGCAGCCUGGGUGGUGUGGAUAAGCAGCCCUUAAAAGACCCUCUCUCCAACAAAUAACACACAUAUGUAAAGCCUAAAGCUCCACCUUUGGUCAAUUCUUUGGGCUGGACUGGCUACAGAAAUUUACAGAGCCCACUGCAAAUGAAAACAUAGGCCCUUUGUUACAAAGUUAAGAAUUCCAAGGUGGUGACAACAGAGUAUUAAAUUCAGCCUGCAGCCCUUCUGGGCACAGGGCCCUGCACUACUGCACGGGUUGCACACUGAAGUAGCCUUACCUCUGGAUGAUAGAUGCCUUGAGUGUGUCCUAUUAAAAUAUUAUGACCACCAUCCUUUCUGGGGCAGUUCCUGUAAGAUAGUCAUGCUCAGCUGAAGAGGAACAUUUCCCUUAUUAAGAAAGACCUGCAAAAACUUUGGAAUUAGUGGGCAAGGAUGUAUCCGUUCAUUUAGGUCAAUGAAGCUUUGAUUAAAAACAAAAGCGAGACCCUAAGUAGAUUCUCCUUCAGUGUGAUUGUUAAGUUCCAGGGCUCUCAGCCCCCUGCCCUGCCCUCUGUCCUGCUAAUCAAGCCUUGUGUUGGUACUGUGGUUAUUUGUUGAGUGUUCACUGUAUGCAGGCACUGCUCUAGGACCCAGCAUGAUCAGUGGAGAUGAAGCCUUCCUAGGGCUGGCACUGUAGUGGGCAAGACAGACAGUAAAAAUAAAUAAGGGGACAAGUACACAGUAUAAUAUCAGGUAGUAUUUAGUGCUACUUGGCAAAAAAAAAAAAA